rnacentral:rRNA from 1 species
AUUGAACGCUGGCGGCAGGCCUAACACAUGCAAGUCGAACGAGUGGCGGACGGGUGAGUAAUGUCUGGGAAACUGCCUGAUGGAGGGGGAUAACUACUGGAAACGGUAGCUAAUCCCGCAUACCAUCAGAUGUGCCCAGCUGGGAUUAGCUAGUUGGUGGGGUAAAGGCUCAACAAGGCGACGAUCCCUAGCUGGUCUGAGAGGAUGACCAGCCACACUGGAACUGAGACCCGGUCCAAACUCCUACGGGAGGCAGCAUGGGGGAAUAUUGCACAAUGGGCGCAAGCCUGAUUCAGCCAUGCCGCGGUUAUGGAGAAGGCCUUCGGGUUUUAAAGUACUUUCAGCGGGGAGGCGUUACCCGCAGAAGAAGCACCGGCUAACUCCGUGCCAGCCGCCGCGGUAAUAC